CCAGAGAGGUUCGAAAAGAUGUCGUCGAAGGUCGGAAGUCGGUAGAAUCCCCAGAGGAUCACUCCUGACACGAUCUUCGGCUGGGGGGGGGGGAUUUUAUACCCAACAACAAGCUUGAUGCUGCAGUUGUGUGUCUAGUUUUUUGACCUGAGGUGCAUCGACAGUUCACCUUGAGUGUGUUAUAGUUUGACUAUACCAUAACUCGAUCUCCUAGCCAUUCGAAACCCUGAGGUGUAUGUUGGCUGUAGCAUAUUCAUUGUAGGAACUAGGUCACACCAAGAUGGGAUCUAUCAAC
rnacentral:lncRNA from 1 species